rnacentral:rRNA from 1 species
AGAGUUUGAUCCUGGCUCAGAUUGAACGCUGGCGGCAUGCCUUACACAUGCAAGUCGAACGGUAACAGGUCUUCGGAUGCUGACGAGUGGCGAACGGGUGAGUAAUACAUCGGAACGUGCCCGAGAGUGGGGGAUAACGAAGCGAAAGCUUUGCUAAUACCGCAUACGAUCUCAGGAUGAAAGCAGGGGACCGCAAGGCCUUGCGCUCACGGAGCGGCCGAUGGCAGAUUAGGUAGUUGGUGGGAUAAAAGCUUACCAAGCCGACGAUCUGUAGCUGGUCUGAGAGGACGACCAGCCACACUGGGACUGAGACACGGCCCAGACUCCUACGGGAGGCAGCAGUGGGGAAUUUUGGACAAUGGGCGCAAGCCUGAUCCAGCCAUGCCGCGUGCAGGAUGAAGGCCUUCGGGUUGUAAACUGCUUUUGUACGGAACGAAAAGACUUUGGUUAAUACCUGGGGUCCAUGACGGUACCGUAAGAAUAAGCACCGGCUAACUACGUGCCAGCAGCCGCGGUAAUACGUAGGGUGCGAGCGUUAAUCGGAAUUACUGGGCGUAAAGCGUGCGCAGGCGGUUAUAUAAGACAGAUGUGAAAUCCCCGGGCUCAACCUGGGAACUGCAUUUGUGACUGUAUAGCUAGAGUACGGCAGAGGGGGAUGGAAUUCCGCGUGUAGCAGUGAAAUGCGUAGAUAUGCGGAGGAACACCGAUGGCGAAGGCAAUCCCCUGGGCCUGUACUGACGCUCAUGCACGAAAGCGUGGGGGAGCAAACAGGAUUAGAUACCCUGGUAGUCCACGCCCUA